AAGCUCUUCAACCGCAUCAAUAAUUAAUGGUGUGGCUUGGACAUGGGGGUUGCAGGCUUCUGUGUAAGUCGGCUCCCCUGAAAUGCAUUAGUGGUUAUUGUGAGCCCAACCAACAGGUGUGUGAUAAAUAUCUCUAUGCCUUUGGUUAUGCUGUUGAAACCGCUUCGAAAAACAAACCCACAUUUUGAUGA
rnacentral:misc_RNA from 1 species